AAAAAAAAGGAAAACAAAACUUACUAGCCAUUUCCUCAAGAGCUUCUUCUUCGUUUUCUUGUCUGCUUAGCCGAAUGAAAUGGAAAAGAUCUGCAAAGUUUUGGAGCAUGAGACAAUGUGAAAUUGGGCGUACGAAGAC
ensembl:ncRNA T24F1.9 ncRNA